rnacentral:RNase_P_RNA from 3 species
CGAUGUAAAUUCUGGGUAAUCGCGGUCGGCUUAUGUCGGCUGAGGAAGGUCCAUGCUCGCACAAGCUGCGAUGCUUGUAGUGUUCGUGCUCGGUGAAAAAAUAAGCCGGGGUACCGAUUUAUCGGUAACGGCGGAAAAAACGGCUAAGGCUUCGGCUAUGCCCGAGUAUUCCUGAAAAGUGCCACAGUGACGAUACUCAAUUGGAAACGGUUGAGUUGGAACGCGGUAAACCCCACGAGCGGGCAACCCAAACUACGGUAGGGGCGCUUCACAUAAGGAACUGAACUAAAUGUGGGGGGAGAUUAGUAAUCUCGAGAUAGAUGAUUACCGCCUAGUUAACAGACCCUGUACUUUAACUAGGUACAAAACAUGGCCUACAGGAAUUUACAUUUAGA